rnacentral:rRNA from 1 species
UACGUAGGGGGCAAGCGUUGUCCGGAUUUAUUGGGCGUAAAGGGCGUGUAGGCGGUCAGGUAAGUGGGAUGUGAAAUGCCCCGGCUCACCCGGGGACCGGCAUCCCAUACUGCUUGGCUUGAGUACGGGAGAGGAUGUGGGAAUUCCUGGUGUAGCGGUGAAAUGCGUAGAUAUUACCAGGAACACCAAUGGCGAAGGCAGCUUGCUGGGCUUCUUCUGACACUGAGGUACGAAAGCGUGGGGAGCGAACAGG